rnacentral:rRNA from 1 species
GUGGGGAAUCUUAGACAAUGGGGGAAACCCUGAUCUAGCCAUGCCGCGUGAUCGAUGAAGGCCUUAUGGUUGUAAAGAUCUUUCAGGUGGGAAGAUAAUGACUGUACCACCAGAAGAAGCCCCGGCUAACUCCGUGCCAGCAGCCGCGGUAAUACGGAGGGGGCUAGCGUUGUUCGGAAUUACUGGGCGUAAAGCGCACGUAGGCGGACUGGAAAGUAGGGGGUGAAAUCCCGGGGCUCAACCUCGGAACUGCCCUCUAAACUCCCAGUCUUGAGGUCGAGAGAGGUGAGUGGAAUUCCGGGUGUAGAGGUGAAAUUCGUAGAUAUUCGGAGGAACACCAGUGGCGAAGGCGGCUCACUGGCUCGAUACUGACGCUGAGGUGCGAAAGCGUGGGGAGCAAACAGGAUUAGAAACCCGGGUAGUCC